CGCUCUGAAUAACGGGUGGAAGGUGAACGUAGAAAAAAGUUCUCUGUCUCCGGUCACAAGGGUUCCCUUCCUGGGAACAAUAAUAGACUGGGUAGAAAUGAAAAUCUUUCUGACGGAAGUCAGGAAGUCAAAACUUUCAAAUGCUCGUCGAGUUCUUCAUGCCAUUCCUCAGCCUUCUGUGGCUCAGUGCAUGGAGGUAAUCGGUCUAAUGGUUGCGGCAAUGGACAUAGUCCCUUUUGCCAGAAUUCAUCUUAGACCAUUGCAACUGUGCAUGCACAAGCAGUGGAAUGAGGAUUAUGCAGAUUUGUCCCCCCAGAUACAAAUGGACCAGAAAACCAGAGACUCGCUCCUCUGGCGGUUGUCUCAGGAUCACCUGUCUCAGGGAAUGAGUUUCCGCAGCCCAGUGUGGAUCAUUGUCACGACCGACGCCAGUCUCUUAGGAUGGGGCGCCGUCUGGGACUCCCUGAAAGCUCAGGGUUUAUGGUCUCGGGAAGAAUCUCUUCUCCCGAUAAACAUUUUGGAACUGAGAGCGAUAUUCAAUGCGCUCCUGGCUUGGCCUCAACUAGCGGAGGCCAAAUUCAUAAGAUUUCAGUCAGACAUCAUGACGACUGUAGCGUACAUCAAUCAUCAGGGAGGAACAAAGAGUUCCCUGGCGAUGAGAGAAGUAUCCAAGAUCAUCAAAUGGGCGGAGGAUCACUCCUGCCAUCUAUCUGAAAUUCACAUCUCAGGAGUAGACUACUGGGAGGCGGAUUAUCUGAGUCGUCAGACUUUCCAUCCAGGGGAGUGGGAACUUCACCCGGAGGUUUUUGCCCAGUUAACUCAACUAUGGGGCAUUCCAGAUCUGGAUCUGAUGGCGUCACGUCAGAACUUCAAGGUUCCACGCUACGGGUCCAGGGAUCCCAAGGCGACAUUGGUAGAUGCCUUAGUGACGCCUUAGUCGUUCAAUCUAUUCUCCUCCCCAGGCUAGUAGCCAGGAUCAAACAGGAGAAGGCUUCGGUAAUUCUAAUAGCUCCUGCGUGGCCACGCAGGACUUGGUAUGCAGACCUGGUGAAUAUGUCAUCGGCUCCACCAUGGAAGCUACCUUUGAGACAGGACCUUCUAGUACAAGGUCCAUUCGAACAUUCAAACCUAGUUUCUCUGCAACUGACUGCUUGGAGAUUGAACGCUUGAUUCUAUCUAAGCGUGGGUUUUCGGAAUCAGUUAUAGAUACUCUGGUUCAGGCUAGAAAGCCUGUAACCAGGAGAAUUUACCAUAAGAUAUGGCAGAAAUAUCUCCAUUGGUGCGAAUCCAAGGGUUACUCAUGGAGUAAAAUUAGGAUUCCAAGGAUUUUUUUCCUUUCUCCAAGAGGGAUUGGAGAAAGGUCUGUUAGCUAGUUCUUUAAAAGGACAGAUAUCUGCUCUGUCUGUCUUGUUGCACAAACGUCUGGCAGCCGUGCCAGAUGUUCAGGCGUUCGUACAGGCGUUAGUCAGAAUCAAGCCUGUCUACAGACCUGUGACUCCUCCAUGGAGUCUAACUUUAGUUCUUUCAGUUCUUCAUGGGGUUCCGUUUGAACCUUUACUUUCCAUAGAUAUUAAGUUACUAUCUUGGAAAGUUUUGUUUUUGGUUGUUAUUUCUUCUGCUAGAAGAGUUUCUGAAUUGUCUGCUUUGCAGUGUAAUUCACCCUAUCUGGUGUUUCAUACAGAUAAGGUAGUUUUAUGUACCAAGCCUGGUUUUCUUCCAAUAGGAAUAUUAACCAGGAAAUUGUUGUUCCUUCUCUGUGUCCUUAUCCAGUUUCUAAAAAGGAACGUUUGUUACACAAUCUAGACGUGAUUCGUGCUUUAAAAUUCUAUCUAGAAGCAACAAAGGAUUUCAGACAGACAUCUUCUUUGUUGUCUAUUCUGGUAAGAGAAGAGGUCAGAAAGCUACUGCUACCUCUCUUUCCUUCUGGCUAAAAAGCAUCAUCCGAUUGGCUUAUGAGACUGCUGGACGGCAGCCUCCUGAACAAAUGGGCUUUCAAGAACAAGGCUUCUGUUGAACAGAUCUGUAUGGCAGCGACUUGGUCUUCACUGCAUACAUUUGCAAAAUUUUACAAAUUCGAUACUUUUGCUUCUUCGGAGGCUAUUUUUGGGAGAAAGAAAUUUAUCAGGUAAACAUAAAUUCUGUUUUUAUAACAUUUUGCUGUGAAGAAGGGGCACGUUAUUUAUGCAGAUAGAAUUCACAGUUCAGUGAAGUUGAUUGAAUGGCGCUUCACUUUACUGAUGGAUAAUGACCCAAAAACUUAAGGCAGAAAGACCCAUGAACAAACAAUAACUGACAACAGCUGCAGUAAAGGCCUGGCAAAGCAUUACAAAGGGGGAAACCCAGCAUUUGAUGAACUUCCAGACUUUAAGCAGUCAUUGCCUACAGAUUCUCGACAAAGUAUUAAAAAUGAACAUUUUAUUAAUGAUUGUGUUAAUUUGUCCAAUUACAUUUGAGCCCCUGAAAUAAGAUGACUGUAUGAAAAUGGUUGCAAUUCCUAAUCGUUUCAUAUAGUAUUUUUGUUCAACCCCUUGAAUUAAAGAUAAAAGCCUCCACUUAAA